GAAAUCUCUGUACCUAUUGCUCAGUUUUGCUAAGAACCUAAAACUGCUCUAAAACAUUUGUUUAAAAAAUAACGUAAUAGAUAACUAGAUUGGCUAUAAUUGUUUCAAAUCUCUAUUAAAAAUGUAGAAAAUGCUACCAAAAAAAGUCCCAUGUUCCCAUGCAUCUUGCUUCCUUCCUUUGCAGUUUGUUAACAUUCCCAAACACAUUUCUGUCCUUUCACUACGUACAUGCUAGCUGUGUGAGCUUGGACAGUAUUUAGGCUUUCUAGGCCUUAGAUUUCUUAGUUGUAAAAUGGAGAUAAACAAAAGCCCCUUUUCCAAAGAUAGUUAUAUAUGUUAGCCCUUGUUACUAUUAUUAUCCCCAAAUAAUACAGCUUAUAUAGAGAGAUAGAUAGAUAUGCAUUAAAAUUUGCAUAAUUGUAACCUUUUGCAACUUGAUGUUUUUUCAUUAUUCCAUUGAGCUAUUCACAUCAAUAAAUAUCAUUCAUUUUAGUAACUGCAUAGUAUUCUACUUGAUGAAUAUAUCUUAUUUAUCUGUUCCCCUACUGUUAACAAUUAUUUCUUUAUUCUAAUAUUUACAAACAGCACAGUAAAAAUAUUGUUGUAUAAUCUCCUUGUGGAAAAUCUCCCUAUAAAUGUAUUUCCAUAAAGGAAAUGGAAUGGGCCAUAGGGUCAGUGCAUCUUCAUCAGUACCAAGUAUUGCCAAAUUGCUUUAGAAAGGGGCUGCAUUCAUUUGCAUUCUCACCAGGAAGGUGGGAGAGUUCUUUCUCAAAAUUGUGGCUACCACUUGGCACUAUGACAUUUUUUAGUUUCACCAAGUUUUAUUUCUUUAAGGUUAUUAAUGCCAGUUUUAUUGUUUUCGUCUUAUUCUACUCUCUGGGUUGAAUCUGUUUCUUUAUUUUUCCUCCUAAAUUCUUUUUGUGUGCUUGCUUAGUAGAUUGCCUGUGUGCGUGCAUGGUCUCUUAUCAUUGAUAUUGUGCUUGCUUUGCUCAAUUUUCUGGUAAUCUCAGUUCAUUCCCACAUGAGAGUGGAGCACAAAAGGGCUGGCUGGAGUGCCGUGUACAUGGCAGGCUUUCUUAGCUGCUAGCUUAGCUGUGGGAGAUUUGGCCAGUUUCACCACAGAUGGCAGGAUAUGGAAGACCUUCUCUUGGAAUGGCUGGAGGUUCCAGAGAGGGAUCUCCAUACACCUGCAUGAGUCAAUAAGACUGGAUGACAAUGUCCUAAGAAUGGAGUUGGGGCAGGGAACCACAGGUCUCCUCUUCCCUUUGUAGACAUUCACUUAACCCAUCCUUUUUUGUCCUGGUAUUCCUUUCCCAGGUCCACCAGCUUUGGGUGGGUUCCUGAUACCAGAAGUGCUCUAGAGGGUCAGUCUUUCCAGGAAGUUCAUCACCAUCUUCUCCUGUGCAGGUGUGGGAGGAGGAUUCACUGGCAGUGCAAGGGACAGAGAGGCUGGGACUUAACAACUACUUCUGUCUGCCAACACUCAGCCAGUCCUCAUUUGAGAUACCUGAUACCUCAACUUCCAGAUCCUGAACAGCUGCAGUUCCAUCUGGCUUGCCUUUUCUCACCUUCCAAUCAUGAAUUCCAGCUUUUUUCUCAUCUUUUCUGUCACUUAUCACUCAUCUAUUAUCCGGCUUUCAUAUUAGUGUCACUGUCACCUCCUCUUCCAUUCUCUCAUCCUUUUGUAGUUUUAACAUACACAUACACACACACAAACACACAUACCUUUUUUUUUUUAACCACUUUGUUAUCCUUUUAGUGGGGAGUAAGAAGUGGGUAAAUACAGGUUGUGCUCAAAUGAACAGAAGCAACAGACCUGACUUUGGGCCAGAGCAGGGCAGGAGAUUCCCCACUUGAAACUUAAGUGUUAAAAAAAAAAAUGCACUCCUGGACCCAGUACGGUGACCUUAAGCUAGUCUCAGCCUGAUCUCCACAUAAGGAAAAUAAAAAUUUACCCUGAGAUGUUUAGACCCUGGGCUUGGACUGGGGCAUGCUGAGGAUCUAACCCACACUCUGCUUAUGUACAGGAGCUGGGGAGCUGAGAAGUGAUCAUGUUUGGGCUGCGAGUCUUGCAGACACCUGGCAGAAGCAACCCAAAGACUGAUUAGGAGCAAGACUUCCAUAAUUCUGUGGAAUCCUUAAGAAAAGGCUUCACUGAAGAAUCUACUCUGAGAAUAUCCACAACAGGUUUGACAAAAUUGAAGAAAAUAAGUAAACAUCAUGAGUGAAAUGCAUUCUUCCUGUGGACCAGGCGCAUCAGUGUAAACCAUCCCGUCUCUUUGAUGCCAAGGACAGCUGUUUGAAGAAACCUCCUCUUCCUCAGGUGGCUCUGAUUGCAUCACUUCAUCACCAGCUGAGCCUCCACAAGUGGUUUAUAAUUUACCCAGUAAAAACAGAUAGUCAAACAUUGGUCAAGUCCCCUGAAUGGCAUCCAGAAAGUUGUCCUUGCUUACAGCACUGCACGUAGCUGGAAAAGUUAUGUACAAAUACCAUGAGCCCUUAUGAAAAGAAGAGCUGCCUCCAGAAUGUGGUCAGUUUGCUUGUCCUUUAGAAAAAACAGUCAGACCAGAGGGAUAAGCACUGAGAAACAAAUAAAUGCCAAUUUAGAAAUUGAAGUCAA